UUAACACAUGCAAGUCGAACGGUGAACACGGAGCUUGCUCUGUGGGAUCAGUGGCGAACGGGUGAGUAACACGUGAGCAACCUGCCCCUGACUCUGGGAUAAGCGCUGGAAACGGCGUCUAAUACUGGAUACGAACCAUGAAGGCAUCUUCAGUGGUUGGAAAGAAUUUCGGUUGGGGAUGGGCUCGCGGCCUAUCAGCUUGUUGGUGAGGUAAUGGCUCACCAAGGCGUCGACGGGUAGCCGGCCUGAGAGGGUGACCGGCCACACUGGGACUGAGACACGGCCCAGACUCCUACGGGAGGCAGCAGUGGGGAAUAUUGCACAAUGGGCGCAAGCCUGAUGCAGCAACGCCGCGUGAGGGAUGACGGCCUUCGGGUUGUAAACCUCUUUUAGCAGGGAAGAAGCGAAAGUGACGGUACCUGCAGAAAAAGCGCCGGCUAACUACGUGCCAGCAGCCGCGGUAAUACGUAGGGCGCAAGCGUUAUCCGGAAUUAUUGGGCGUAAAGAGCUCGUAGGCGGUUUGUCGCGUCUGCUGUGAAAUCCGGAGGCUCAACCUCCGGCCUGCAGUGGGUACGGGCAGACUAGAGUGCGGUAGGGGAGAUUGGAAUUCCUGGUGUAGCGGUGGAAUGCGCAGAUAUCAGGAGGAACACCGAUGGCGAAGGCAGAUCUCUGGGCCGUAACUGACGCUGAGGAGCGAAAGGGUGGGGAGCAAACAGGCUUAGAUACCCUGGUAGUCCACCCCGUAAACGUUGGGAACUAGUUGU
rnacentral:rRNA from 1 species